rnacentral:rRNA from 1 species
GACGAACGCUGGCGGCGUGCUUAACACAUGCAAGUCGAACGGUGACGCUCAAGCUUGCUUGGUCUGCUCAGUGGCGAACGGGUGAGUAACACGUGAGUAACCUGCCCCAGACUCUGGGAUAACCCCGGGAAACCGGAGCAAAUCCCGGAUAUGACACGCCUCCGCAUGGGGAGUGUGUGGAAAGUUUUUUCGGUCUGGGAUGGACUCGCGGCCUAUCAGCGUUUUGGUGGGGUAAUGGCUCACCAAGGCGACGACGGGUCGCCGGCCUGAGAGGGCGACCGGCCACACUGGGACUGAGACACGGCCCAGACUCCUACGGGAGGCAGCAGUGGGGAAUAUUGCACAAUGGGCGAAAGCCUGAUGCAGCGACGCCGCGUGAGGGAUGACGGCCUUCGGGUUGUAAACCUCUUUCAGCAGGGAAGAAGCGCAAGUGACGGUACCUGCAGAAGAAGCACCGGCUAACUACGUGCCAGCAGCCGCAGUAAGAC